UGUCAAGAGUCAUUCAGCGUCAUUUUCGGCGGGCGGACUUCUUUUGCCUAAUUGAAGGCAAACGAACUAUG
rfam:Mesorhizobium alhagi CCNWXJ12-2 contig297, whole genome shotgun sequence.